rnacentral:rRNA from 2 species
AACGAACGCUGGCGGCAGGCUUAACACAUGCAAGUCGAACGCCACCUUCGGGUGGAGUGGCAGACGGGUGAGUAACGCGUGGGAACGUACCUUUUGGUUCGGAAUAUUCUCGGGAAACUGAGAGCAAUACCGGAUAAGCCCUUCGGGGGAAAGAUUUAUCGCCGAAAGAUCGGCCCGCGUUAGAUUAGGUAGUUGGUAGGGUAAUGGCCUACCAAGCCUACGAUCUAUAGCUGGUCUGAGAGGAUGAUCAGCCACAUUGGGACUGAGACACGGCCCAAACUCCUACGGGAGGCAGCAGUGGGGAAUAUUGGACAAUGGGCGAAAGCCUGAUCCAGCCAUGCCGCGUGAAUGAUGAAGGCCUUAGGGUUGUAAAAUUCUUUCAACGGGGACGAUAAUGACGGUACCCGUAGAAGAAGCCCCGGCUAACUUCGUG